CUAAUUACAAAUAUCCUAUUUUUUACACUUUCUCUCUCCAUCCUCCAUAUACAUAUCACACCUCCAUAAUUUAUGCCUAAAAUCAAACAAUCAUAAUUAAGAGAUUUCAAGGUUUGAUUUUACAAACCUUCUCUUAUCAAGUUGUUGAACACCUUCUUCAAAUUUUUUUUUUUUGAGGUUAGUUUAAUUUCUUAAUUUUUUCAGCUUUACUAAAUCAAAAAUUUCCGAGUUACUUGUUGCAUGUGCUUAAUUCUCAAAGCUUAAGCAUAGUAAUGGAGUCUGGUCCGAGUUUUAGAGAAAAUAGAUCGAAACACCGAAACGAUCCCGCCAAGAUGAAGAAAUCGAGGGAAGUUGCUCAUACAAGCUCCAAAAAGCCCGUUGCUAAAUCUUCAAGUAAGAUAAAAAGUGAAGAAUCAUCACGACCGUGUCUUCCAAAGAUAUAGUAAUUUGUUAUUGAAUUUGUAUUUCUUACGUAUAUGGUUAGAUUACUUAGUAAAUCCAUGUUGUUGUUUUGAACUAUGAAACAUAGCGAGUUAUGUAUAUAUUUGUAGUUAUGUCAUUUGUUGGACGUUUUAUUUCAAUCCAUAUACAAAAAUUUGUUAUAUAUAUGUAUUGAAACAAGGCACUGCUGGGCUGUUAAAUUUCACGUCACAUACAUUAUAGAGUUAUAUUUAUAUGUUAUCCAUCAAUAGUGUUAUACAUAUCACAGUUAUGUAUGUGACUUUGUUAGACAAGAUGAGUUGAGUGUAUUUCAAUCCAUAUACACAACAGUGUUUGUAUAUGAAAGAACGUUAGACAUGUAUAUGAUGGG
rnacentral:lncRNA from 1 species